rnacentral:misc_RNA from 1 species
GAUGAAGAACGUAGCGAAAUGCGAUAAGUAAUGUGAAUUGCAGAAUUCAGUGAAUCAUCGAAUCUUUGAACGCACCUUGCGCCCUUUGGCUAUUCCGAAGGGCAUGCCUGUUUGAGUAUCAUGAACACCUCAACUCUCAUGGUUCGCCAUGAUGAGCUUGGACUCUGGGGGUCUUGCUGGCCUAUGGUCAGCUCCUCUCAAAUAAAUCAGCUUGCCAGUGUUUGGUGGCAUCACAGGUGUGAUAACUAUCUACGCUUGUGGUUUUCCAUCAGGUAACCUUCGGUGAUGGAGGUUCGCUGGAGCUCAUAAAUGUCCCUCCUCAGCGAGGACAGCUUUUUGAACGUUUGAUCUCAAAUCAGGUAGGACUACCCGCUGAACUUAAGCAUAUCAAUAAGCGGAGGA